rnacentral:rRNA from 1 species
UCAGACGAUGCGUCAUGCAUAUCAAUAAGCGGAGGAAAAGAAACUAACAAGGAUUCCCUUAGUAACGGCGAGUGAAGCGGGAAGAGCUCAAAUUUGAAAUCUUCAAGGUUUUACCUUGACGAAUUGUAGUUUAAAGAAGUGUUUUCUGCUGAAGUUUUGGUAAAAGUUCUUUGGAAUAGGACAUCAUAGAGGGUGAGAAUCCCGUAUUUGACCAUUAUUUUCAGCUUUGUGAUACACUUUCAAAGAGUCGGAUUGUUUGGGAAUGCAGUCCAAAAUGGGUGGUAAAUUUCAUCUAAAGCUAAAUAUUGGCGAGAGACCGAUAGCGAACAAGUACCGUGAGGGAAAGAUGAAAAGAACUUUGAAAAGAGAGUUAAACAGUACGUGAAAUUGUCAAAAGGGAAGCGUUUGACACCAGUGUUGUUUUCUCGAAGAUCAAUUAAAAAUGGCUCGAUUUUGUAUUGCUUGAGACCUUAAAAGCUCACUGUACAUUUUUCGUGUCUUUUUUAGUGCACUUUUCGUUUAACAAGUCAACAUCAGUUUCUUUUGUUGUAAAAGGGUCAUUGGAAGGUGGCUUUCUUUUCGGAGAAAGUGUUUAUAGCCUCUGGCCUCUGCAAUCGGAGAGACUGAGGUCUGCAGCGUAGACUCUUCGGGGUUAGAUACAUUUGUGCUAAGUUAUAGCUUUUUAUAGACAAUUUGUUGACUAUGAUUAGUCUUGUAGCUUACUCGCUUAUGCUAUUUUACCUACGCUUAGGAUGUUGAGUCGUAGAGCACGCAG